GUAGGCAUCGACGGUUUGGUGAUUGCGCAAGCCGAUCGGAGCCUCCUUUUCUUUCUACUGGCAAUGGCCGCUACCAGGAAGUAGGGCAACCGGAUGGUUUGCAAGACCUCAAAGUUAGCCAAAGAAAGAAAGAAGUAUCCACCCGCCCCCCCAGGGUCAUCUGAUCAGUAAUGACUGGGAACAUGGCCACCACCAGGAAUGCUUCACAGCUCUUCUUGGUAUUUUUCUUGUUGCUUUUUUGCCUACCUGUAGUGGAAGCUUUAGAUAUGGGUGAUGCAUUAGCUUUGCUGCUAGGUGUGGCUCUUAGUUGUAUUGGAUUCUGUGCCUGCCUCGGUCUAUAUGCAAGAAGACAACAUGGAGAGCAAUGACUUUAAGUCCAAAAUGUUCAGCUGAAGUGCAACUGUCCUGAUGGAUGUUGUUGUAAUUAAGGAAGAGUUUCAAGAUGUUCCCCAACUCAUCAAACCUUUAUUGCUGUGUACUGCUCAAGAAGAAAGACCAUUCAUAAUCGGAAAACUGGAGAAAGCUGCUUCAAGUUCAUAAGAACAUUUUAUAUGUAAUUAAGGUGUUGCCUUAAAAGAGAAUGCUACUGGUUUUCAAUUACAUAUGAAAAAGUUAAUUAUUAACAGAGGUGCAGCAGGAAAUAUAGAGGGGUAAAAGAGAAUAUAGUUUGCAUUCAAAUGAUAUACAGAAAAUAUACGACAUAGGAAACAUAACUAUCCUCAGAAUUAAUUUAGAGAUGAUUUUUUUCAUCUAAUGAAAUAUUUAUUUCAUUUUUCUCCAAAUCGAACCAAAGUAUUUUGUUGUAAGAUCAAUUUGCUGUGUACCAUCCAAUGUUUUGUUGUUUUCAUCUGGUUACAAUUUAUGUUACGGUUAAUAUUGAAAAGUUAGUCUCCAUUGUCUCCUUAAAGCAUUGCAGAUAUUCUAAUAUAGCAGUAUGUAAUCCAGUGCCAUCAAAUGUUUAGUUUAUAACUCCCAUAAUCUCUGACCAUCAGCCAUUUGAUUUAUGAGAAUUGUAAUCUAAAAUAUGGUAGCAGAGUCAUGGGUUGAUUGAAGGAAGAGAUGCCAGAUUUUCCUACUUGUAGAAAUGGGUACAGCCAUUCUUGCCCAUGCUAGCUUGAAUACAUACGAAGCCUGACUUUUUCUUUCUAGUAAGCUUUCUAUUCAUUUCAGUAGAACUUGCAGAAAUGUUCCUCAUAAAUUAACUUUUAUGAUUUCUCAGUUCUACAGAAGAAUUGCUGGGAACAAUAUUUAAAUGACCAAACCUUUUCUAUACAGUAUAUAUCUCCUCACUUGUAUUGUUUGCACAUUUUUAAUAAAUUGUGAAACUUUCACUAUUUUCAAAGUAUUGAAUAAGGUAAAGGAUUAAUGGGAAUUGAACAAUGGUUUAUUCUUGGUAACUAAAUAUAUUUUAAUAUGAGGUUAACUUAAUAACAUCCAUGCUCUUUAACGUGUCCUUUGCUGCUUUAAUUCACCCAUGAUUAAAUAUUAGAUAUUGAAAAUAUGCCUAAAAUUAACAAGGGCACUGUUGAAGCUCAUACUAAACCAAUUUUAUUAUAAUUCAAGUUUGGUAGUAAGAGAAAGGUAGAAAUUUUCUUAACAUGCAUAUGCAGAUCCAUUAUAAGAAUGUUAUGGUUUUAAAAUAUUGUAAUAUUUGGUAUAAAUAUUACAUAUUAUACAAAAGAUAUAGCAAAAAUAUACUAUUCUAAUGUAUUUUAAAGACAUUUUCUCUCUGACCCAUGCAAAAGCUAUAUGUUCAUCAUGUAUUGGAUUCUGCUGCAGAUAUUUGCCUUUUUAAAUAACAAAAUAUUUUAAAAUCUUCUAAAAAGUUUGAUGUUAUUUAGAUAAUUAACUGCAAGUAAUAUCUCACAGGGGACUGAAUUCCACCAUGUGAAUCUUAAAAUUGGAAGAGUUUGGGAUGCUUCAUUGUGAAAUAUUGGUCUCCAGCCAACUUGAAGCAGAUCCAAAGGUAUAUUUAGGACAUCAAGAUUAUAGGCAACUGGCUACCAAAGCCUAAUUUUAAAGUAUUUUUGGCAACCAGAAAGAAACCAAGACAAGAAAAGUUAGAGCCCAUUGCCAUUGAUUGGUAAGGUGCUGAGGCAUGUGGACGGUAGUGAGAUAACAGGAGUAUCAUGGAGAAACCAAAUAUUGGGAAGAAGUAGAGAAUGCAGAGCUUGGGACAAUCCAGUAGGAUGAGUAAAAGAUUCAAGGAUAUGAUUGGAAACUAUAAAGACAAUGGGAUGGUUGGAAUUCUACAGAUGAAACUUGGGAGGACAUAAUAUGUGAUUGAAGGGGAGGGAGAAAUCAGAAAAGGGAGGUUGUAAAGAAAAUUGUGACUGUAAUUACAUUUUUGGCUCUAAAAAAUUCCUAGAAAUAAAAGACAGGAAUACUGAA